rnacentral:rRNA from 1 species
CCUACGGGUGGCAGCAGUGGGGAAUAUUGGACAAUGGGCGAAAGCCUGAUCCAGCCAUGCCGCGUGUGUGAAGAAGGCCUUCGGGUUGUAAAGCACUUUCAGUGGGGAAGAAAGCCUUGGGGCUAAUACCCUCGAGGAAGGACAUCACCCACAGAAGAAGCACCGGCUAACUCCGUGCCAGCAGCCGCGGUAAUACGGAGGGUGCGAGCGUUAAUCGGAAUUACUGGGCGUAAAGCGCGCGUAGGCGGUCUGAUAAGCCGGUUGUGAAAGCCCCGGGCUCAACCUGGGAACGGCAUCUGAACUGUCAGGCUAGAGUGCAGGAGAGGAAGGUAGAAUUCCCGGUGUAGCGGUGAAAUGCGUAGAGAUCGGGAGGAAUACCAGUGGCGAAGGCGGCCUUAUGGACUGACACUGACGCUGGGGUGCGAAAGCGUGGGUAGCAAACAGGAUUAGAUACCCCGGUAGUC